UGGCUCAGUGGUAGAGUGCAUGCUUAGCAAGCAGGUGGUCCUGGGUUCAAUCCCUAG
rnacentral:tRNA from 1 species